ensembl:lncRNA
UGGGGGAGCCCCCAUGGGAGGACCAUGUUGGGAGGGAGAUGCCAGAGUCGUGACCUGAGUCAGCGUGACUUUCAAAGGGCUGACCUGAAGGUAGCUGUAUCUAUCUCCCUGGAAAACUGGUGCCUCAGACCUGGGGGCCUGCUGCUUCCAGCGCACGGUGUGUGCACAGGGCGAAGGGUCUGUGAGGAGGGUAGGAACGGGCCAACAGUCAGUGUUCUCCCCAAGCUGAACCAAGCCACUGAACGUCGGUUGAGCUCCUCCUGUAUUCCAGGCCCCGUGUUACACACCAGCCUGCAGAGGUGAACAACAUGGAUGUCUGCCCUGGUGGAACUGGGGUAGUAAGUGAGCAGCGGUUAAAUAAAUCAGCUACUAACAAGGAAUCUGAACCGAGGAGGGCCUCUCGUCCAGCAGUGCCUCUUUGCCGCAGGCUGUGGACACCCAAGCAGAGGUGAGGUGCGGGUGACAUGGGUCAGCCUGGAGCGGGCCCCACACAGCAGCGCAAACCGGCAGCAACCACAGAAGCGGUGUUGCCUGUGGGCCCAAAGCAGCGAUGGUGCUGACUGCUCCUGAGGGGGCAGCCACUCCCAGAGGCUGGUCAGCACCAGUGUUUCAGAGGGUCAUGAGCACAGGAUGGAGAAUUCUGGGUGUCUCCACCAUCACGCAGGACGAACGUCACAGAUGAACCACACGCAGCUCGACUCUGCGUCCACCGUGGAAAUCGUCACGAGACAGAGGCGAAAACGUUAAUGGAGAAUCAACACUGAAAUCAAGUCGUUCAAACCCCAAUGCACAGGGGCAUCUGAUCACACCGAAAUCUGUGUCUGACGAGCACAGAGAACUGGUGCAUAUGAAGUCAGAGAGCAGGACCUUAUUAGGAGAUGAGAAAUAGAAACAACGAUUUCUUGAAGGCAUUGCUGAAAUGCUGAAAAACAACAUUACAAAGAAAGAGAUUUUAUCCAAGAAAUUUUCCGACAUUUAAGCUGCUGUGGUGUUUGUAUAAAUAAAGAAUUACUUCGACUCACUCCCAGAGCUCACAUUUUCAGUAAUAUGCUCACAUAUCUUCCAGGAGUCGUUGCUAAUGAAAGUCAAGCUGCAUUUAUGAAUAUGAAUUAUUCACACCGGCCUGUUGAUACACAAGAGCUAAUUUUCAAGAUACUGUGGGUAAACACCAUAAAGUUGUAUUAAAUAUUCAUAUAAUCACUGUGAUAAUUAAUCCAUAAAGCAAUUAUAAUUAAAAUGAAAGUAUCUUGUCUUAUAAAUAACCAAGUAAAAUAGAACUUUAAAAGAUAAAAGGGCAUCACUCCACGUUUAUAUCUGUUAGCCCACUGUGAAGGGUUCAAUGAACCGUCUCUACCGUAUUCAUGUGUCCAGUCAGUGUCACUGAGCCACGGGACACGCUCUGAGAAAUGUGUCGUUCGGUGAUGCCGUCCUUGUGCUCACGCAAUCCUAGGCUGUCUAGCCUGCUGCUCGGCCAGGCUCCACGGUGCUGAUCUUACGGGACCAGCAUCGUACAUGCGGUCCCUCGCUGACCAAGACAUCAUGAUGCAGCACAUGAGUAUCAUUGCUUUUCAAGAAGCAAAGUCAGAGUGUGUUUCUCCAGGAGAGGAGACUUUAUGAGAAGAAAAUGAGGUCUCUCAAGGCCAGAAUCCUGGAGGAUUUGGGAUUAUAAUGCUGGGAUUGGAAUUCUCAUCAAGCAAGAACAGGGUCCUGGUACCCGACACCCGCACAGGGAACUGUUGGUGUGUUACACACGUCUACAUUCCCCUUCCUAACCCUCCCGUGGAUGAGAGGCUGUGGUCUCGUAGAUCAGAUGACUGAGAGGGUGUGCUGCCACCCCAUUGUCUCCCGUCCCUCAGCAAACCAGGGGGUGAGAAGGAUCGGGACAGACAGAAGGCGGAAACAGAAAUUGUAUUUAAUUCCAGGCAACACAAGCUACUCUGAUUAGUUUAAACAACGAAGGUCGUACUUCCAAGGAUCAGAUGGUUUGCCUAGUUGCUGCAUCUGGAGGAACGAGCUGGAGCAAAGAAUCCAGGCGACCCCGUUCCCAGCCUCGGAUGCUCUGCGUGGUUGGGGAGAUCGCUCUCCCGCAGGAUAAAGACUUGUUCCCCCAGACACGUCCCCAGAGGGCAGGCAGGUGGUCGACAUGCAUGGCGGACGGUAAAAGAAGUAAAAGUGAAUCCAGCAGAAGUCAAGGGGCAACACGAUGCUGCCACCCAUAAAAAAAACCCCAUACGUGCACAGCAUGCGCCCCAACCACCUCUGGUUUCCAGAAGAGGCCCACGAGGCGAAUGGAUGUAGAUCAGACCUAGGAGUGAGGGUUACUUGAAUAACAUGCAUCGUUGCACGUCUUCAUCAAUACACUCUUUCAAAACCUCAAACCUCCUUCUCCAUGGAAUCCAGCAGGGCCAGUCCUGAGGUAGAGGAGAAGCCUUUCCACAAUUAAGCAGCUGAACGGUCACUGUCCAGAUGCUGCCAGUUUCAUUUUUAUUGGACGCUGCGUGAGCGUAAUUGUGAGUCCAAGACAAAGCAGAGACCGCAAAAGAGAAAUACGGUAAACGUUUAAUCUCGUUAAUAGGUUAGCAGGAAACACAUGCUCAAAUUAGAUUACAAUGUAGUUUUCUCUUCACAUUUAAAGUUGCACAAGGCCCAUUACGCAGUAUGAGCAACCAGAACCACUUCACACAAAGAUAUUUUGUACUUGAAAAAAAAGACUACAUUUUAGAAUGCAAACAGAAUAAAGUAAUUUCAUGUCCGAAUAUAGAGAAAUAAGUUUGUAAGCCAUUUAACUGGUUAUGAAGCGGUAUCCUUAAAAGCUGGCUUAAAGCCAUAUUUAUAAGCAUUUUUUUCUUUGAUUAAACGUUUUUCUUUAAUGCCUUUCGAGAAUGUCAGUGAGUGGCUAGCCAUAUUUCUGAGCCACAGAUGAAAGCCACUCCACAUAAAGAAGGAAAUCAAUUUGUGUCUCUCCAUGUGGCAGUAACUUUGGUGCAGGCUAGAAUAAAAUGUCCUUUCUUCCUCUCCUUGUGAGCGAGACCUUCAGGAGAGCCUCAGCCCCUGCCGUGUUUCACUGACGCAGGCAUGGACAUCAUAACUUCCCAUCAGUGCGUUUGCAAACCAUUCCUCUCCAUGUUUGAAAUGCACUCGUGCAGAAGCUGAGCAGGUCCCAGGGUCGCGCCCGGCUGCCCUGGAGGAAGGAGGGUAGAGGACGACGGAGGUAAAUCGUUAGAUUAAUCCAGCGAGAAGGACGUGGGACGUGGAGCAACAGAGCGCUCGAGUCUGGUUAAUUCCAAGAUGUCCUACUGACUCUUCGUGUUUCCUGGGUUCCCUGUAAUGUUGAAGUGUCCAUGUUUCCAAAAACCCAUGUCUUCAAACAGUGACUAUGGAAGGAACUUAAAGUGAACCGUGCAUUUGAACUUUCCAAAAGAGUCUCAGAGAGCAGAGGCGGGCCCUCGUCGAGGCGAGACAGGCAGAUCUGUGAAUUAACUGUUCAGAGAUUGAAGUGGGUACCGAGGAUCCCUGGACUUCCCCCAUUUCUUCCUCCUUAGUUGGCACAUCGUUCACCAAGCUGCUGGAGCCAGAAACCUGAACUCAUGCUCUGCCUCUCCUUCCCUCCCCCACAACGCCUGGGACCCCAUGUUUGCUGGCAGGCCCAUUUCCCAGCUCUCUCCAGGGGUCCUGCUGCAUCCACGGACACGGUUCUGAGUCCCAACCAGGGACAUGACUGAGCGUCCCUGACCGGGAGGCCAUCUCAAGACUUUAUCUCGGCCUGCUUCAAACUGCCUCCCCAUAUGCAGCCAGAGCCACCUCAGAGAACCAACACCUGCUCCCACGGCUGAGCGGUGAUCCCCCUUUCCCCCGCCUCCCGUCUCCUGAGACCCUCAGAGGUGAGCCCCUUUCCCCGCCUCCCGUCUCCUGAGACCCUCAGAGGUGAGCCCCUUUCCCUGCCUCCUGUCUCCUGAGACGCUCAGUGGUAUACAGGUUGUUAAACAUCUCUCCUGUUGGAAAGAUGACGGUGGAGUGGGAGAGCGGGAGAGAAAGAGAGAGACGGAGAGAUGGAGGGAGAGGGGAGUGACAGGCAGAGAGAUGGAGGGACUGCGAAAGAGACAGACACAGAGGGCAGGAGCCGAGAGGCUGUGACAUGUGGGAGUCAGAAAUGGAACGCAGUGAUGACAGGUGACAUUUCUUGAGCAACUGUUGUGCACCAAAUACUGCCAGGCACCCGCUUCCAUACUGCUCAAUUCUCUGCACAAUCCACUGAAACGCAUCUUGGAAGCGGUGUGGUUGAGGCUGAAUAAAGAGCGUUGACUCUGGGUCCACGUUCCGGCUGCUGUGAUCUGCACUGUGGGCUCACGGACACCCUGUGGAGACCUCACCUACUGAAUCAAGUACGGUUUGUCAAGGCCUAACCCAAAGGAACAGGUGCUGCCGAAGUUUGCACCCUUGUCAGAGUUCUUCUCCUUUAGAGAUGGAGUUGGACUCACAGUCGUCUCUGGAACGUGACGAGCAUCCGGCGGGAAGUGGCUGUGUGGGCUGAGAACUAACUACCCACACCCUGGGAGCCGGGUACGUCUCUCACGGCUGCUUCGGGAGGUGAUUGUUGGGGGUGCUUGACUUCACGAUCCCAUUUCCUACGUGACAACAAAACGAGGAUAUGUGGUGACCUGUGUGGUUCCUGGAGCUCCUGCAGAGUGGACGAGACGGGGCAGCCACCCACCGGAGAGCAAGGGAGGCUCACUCAGGAGUAGCUGAGGGAGGAAGGAUGUGGUAUCGAUUGGGCCAAUACGAAAGAGAGGGGAGGGAGUGGAGUGUAGGCCACUGGGAUUCUCCCCUUGUGACAGGGACACAUUGACCAGAUAGAGCAAUUACUCAAAAUAUUAUACUUUUUAAAAUAAAUGUUGAAGAAGAUGUUUCCUAAAGUUUGUUAGGUAAGCAUCUUCCAAUAGAUGCAUCCUUUAAAAUAUAUGAGGCAUAUUUCUAUAGUCGGCUUAACAUUCCUGGGUGCCCUGGAGGCCCCGUUCACAGGGGGUCUUUGAGGCUCUGCCAUUCAUCCGUAAACCGCAUACACUGUCUUAUACCCAUGUGAUUAAAGAUAGUUCCUAAAUAUGCUCACAACUUUCACCACAUAUUUCAAUUUCAAAGGCGUUACAACUUUUUCUGAGAGAGCUUUCAUUUUACGCCAAGUUACAGAUAAGAGGAUGUCACAGAGUUUCUGCAUAACCUUAAAUAAACCAUGGUCCUUUGAGAGAGCGUCCAGGAGGGGCACGAAGGGUGGGGUCCAUCUGAGAAGACGGA